GGUUGCGAUCAUACCAGCACUAAUGCACCGGAUCUCAUCAAAACUCCGCAGUUAAGCGUGCUUGGGCGAGAGUAGUACUAGGAUGGGUGACCCCCUGGGAAGUCCUCGUGUUGCAACCC
rnacentral:rRNA from 1 species